UUAAAUUGAAGAGUUUGAUCAUGGCUCAGAUUGAACGCUGGCGGCAGGCCUAACACAUGCAAGUCGAACGGUAACAGGAAUCAGCUUGCUGAUUCGCUGACGAGUGGCGGACGGGUGAGUAAUGUCUGGGAAACUGCCUGAUGGAGGGGGAUAACUACUGGAAACGGUAGCUAAUACCGCAUAAUGUCGCAAGACCAAAGAGGGGGACCUUCGGGCCUCUUGCCAUCGGAUGUGCCCAGAUGGGAUUAGCUAGUAGGUGGGGUAACGGCUCACCUAGGCGACGAUCCCUAGCUGGUCUGAGAGGAUGACCAGCCACACUGGAACUGAGACACGGUCCAGACUCCUACGGGAGGCAGCAGUGGGGAAUAUUGCACAAUGGGCGCAAGCCUGAUGCAGCCAUGCCGCGUGUAUGAAGAAGGCCUUCGGGUUGUAAAGUACUUUCAGCGGGGAGGAAGGGAGUAAAGUUAAUACCUUUGCUCAUUGACGUUACCCGCAGAAGAAGCACCGGCUAACUCCGUGCCAGCAGCCGCGGUAAUACGGAGGGUGCAAGCGUUAAUCGGAAUUACUGGGCGUAAAGCGCACGCAGGCGGUUUGUUAAGUCAGAUGUGAAAUCCCCGGGCUCAACCUGGGAACUGCAUCUGAUACUGGCAAGCUUGAGUCUCGUAGAGGGGGGUAGAAUUCCAGGUGUAGCGGUGAAAUGCGUAGAGAUCUGGAGGAAUACCGGUGGCGAAGGCGGCCCCCUGGACGAAGACUGACGCUCAGGUGCGAAAGCGUGGGGAGCAAACAGGAUUAGAUACCCUGGUAGUCCACGCCGUAAACGAUGUCGACUUGGAGGUUGUGCCCUUGAGGCGUGGCUUCCGGAGCUAACGCGUUAAGUCGACCGCCUGGGGAGUACGGCCGCAAGGUUAAAACUCAAAUGAAUUGACGGGGGCCCGCACAAGCGGUGGAGCAUGUGGUUUAAUUCGAUGCAACGCGAAGAACCUUACCUGGUCUUGACAUCCACAGAACUUUCCAGAGAUGGAUUGGUGCCUUCGGGAACUGUGAGACAGGUGCUGCAUGGCUGUCGUCAGCUCGUGUUGUGAAAUGUUGGGUUAAGUCCCGCAACGAGCGCAACCCUUAUCCUUUGUUGCCAGCGGUCCGGCCGGGAACUCAAAGGAGACUGCCAGUGAUAAACUGGAGGAAGGUGGGGAUGACGUCAAGUCAUCAUGGCCCUUACGACCAGGGCUACACACGUGCUACAAUGGCGCAUACAAAGAGAAGCGACCUCGCGAGAGCAAGCGGACCUCAUAAAGUGCGUCGUAGUCCGGAUUGGAGUCUGCAACUCGACUCCAUGAAGUCGGAAUCGCUAGUAAUCGUGGAUCAGAAUGCCACGGUGAAUACGUUCCCGGGCCUUGUACACACCGCCCGUCACACCAUGGGAGUGGGUUGCAAAAGAAGUAGGUAGCUUAACCUUCGGGAGGGCGCUUACCACUUUGUGAUUCAUGACUGGGGUGAAGUCGUAACAAGGUAACCGUAGGGGAACCUGCGGUUGGAUCACCUCCUUACCUUAAAGAA
rnacentral:rRNA from 1 species